rnacentral:rRNA from 1 species
GACGAACGCUGGCGGCGUGCUUAACACAUGCAAGUCGAGCGGUAAGGCCCUUUCGGGGGUACACGAGCGGCGAACGGGUGAGUAACACGUGGGUGACCUGCCCUCAGCUCUGGGAUAAGCCUGGGAAACUGGGUCUAAUACUGGAUAUGACUCCACGGUGCAUGUCGUGGGGUGGAAAGCCUUGUGCGGCUGAGGAUGGGCCC